ACAUUGUGGAUCAAAUGGAAGCCACAAAAAUCCCAGAAGAAUUGGGAAAAAUAGCAAACAAGCCCUCGAGGAAGCUAAAUGAACAGAACACGAAGAAGAAAGGAUAGGAAAAUGACAAGAAGUUUCGAAACUAACCUAGAUUGGCCCCAGGAGUGCAGGAAGAUGGCAAGGAUGAUGAAAGUCGAUCCGGAGGAUGCCUAAGGCCGAGGAGGAUGCUAGAG
rnacentral:lncRNA from 1 species